rnacentral:rRNA from 1 species
UACGUAGGGGGCAAGCGUUGUCCGGAAUCAUUGGGCGUAAAGAGCGUGUAGGCGGCCAGAUAAGUCCGCUGUGAAAUCUCGAGGCUCAACUUCGAGCUGUCGGUGGAAACUGUCUGGCUAGAGUCCGGAAGAGGAGAAUGGAAUUCCUGGUGUAGCGGUGAAAUGCGCAGAUAAUCAGGAAGAACACCCGUGGCGAAGGCGGUCUCUGGGACGGUACUGACGCUGAGACGCGAAAGCGUGGGAGCGAACAGG